GACGAACGCUGGCGGCGUGCUUAACACAUGCAAGUCGAACGGAAAGGCCCUGCUUUUGUGGGGUGCUCGAGUGGCGAACGGGUGAGUAACACGUGAGUAACCUGCCCUUGACUUUGGGAUAACUUCAGGAAACUGGGGCUAAUACCGGAUAGGAGCUCCUGCUGCAUGGUGGGGGUUGGAAAGUUUCGGCGGUUGGGGAUGGACUCGCGGCUUAUCAGCUUGUUGGUGGGGUAGUGGCUUACCAAGGCUUUGACGGGUAGCCGGCCUGAGAGGGUGACCGGCCACAUUGGGACUGAGAUACGGCCCAGACUCCUACGGGAGGCAGCAGUGGGGAAUAUUGCACAAUGGGCGGAAGCCUGAUGCAGCAACGCCGCGUGCGGGAUGACGGCCUUCGGGUUGUAAACCGCUUUCGCCUGUGACGAAGCGUGAGUGACGGUAAUGGGUAAAGAAGCACCGGCUAACUACGUGCCAGCAGCCGCGGUGAUACGUAGGGUGCGAGCGUUGUCCGGAUUUAUUGGGCGUAAAGGGCUCGUAGGUGGUUGAUCGCGUCGGAAGUGUAAUCUUGGGGCUUAACCCUGAGCGUGCUUUCGAUACGGGUUGACUUGAGGAAGGUAGGGGAGAAUGAAAUUCCUGGUGGAGCGGUGGAAUGCGCAGAUAUCAGGAGGAACACCAGUGGCGAAGGCGGUUCUCUGGGCCUUUCCUGACGCUGAGGAGCGAAAGCGUGGGGAGCGAACAGGCUUAGAUACCCUGGUAGUCCACGCUGUAAACGGUGGGUACUAGGUGUGGGGUCCAUUCCACGGGUUCCGUGCCGUAGCUAACGCUUUAAGUACCCCGCCUGGGGAGUACGGCCGCAAGGCUAAAACUCAAAGGAAUUGACGGGGCCCCGCACAAGCGGCGGAGCAUGCGGAUUAAUUCGAUGCAACGCGUAGAACCUUACCUGGGUUUGACAUGGAUCGGGAGUGCUCAGAGAUGGGUGUGCCUCUUUUGGGGUCGGUUCACAGGUGGUGCAUGCCUGUCGUCAGCUCGUGUCGUGAGAUGUUGGGUUAAGUCCCGCAACGAGCGCAACCCUUGUUCACUGUUGCCAGCACGUUAUGGUGGGGACUCAGUGGAGACCGCCGGGGUCAACUCGGAGGAAGGUGGGGAUGACGUCAAGUCCUCAUGCCCCUUAUGUCCAGGGCUUCACGCAUGCUACAAUGGCUGGUACAGAGAGUGGCGAGCCUGUGAGGGUGAGCGAAUCUCGGAAAGCCGGUCUCAGUUCGGAUUGGGGUCUGCAACUCGACCUCAUGAAGUCGGAGUCGCUAGUAAUCGCAGAUCAGCAACGCUGCGGUGAAUACGUUCCCGGGGCU
rnacentral:rRNA from 1 species